AGGCACAUUCUAAGUCUGUGGAUAGCCGCUUUUCCCCUGGUAAUGUGAGUGCUGUGUGUAUCUACAAGCAUCUGUCUACAACCCUCUUCCCCUUUGAUCACCAAAACCCUUUCUGCAUUCUGACUAGCAGUACCUUCCCCUUUUAACUUAAAAGCGACCAUCUCCCUGCAAAUGGGACAAAUAAGAGAUCUGAAACUGAGCUACGUUGUAAAUCCCACACGUGCAACCUCAAGCAUCUGAUUCACUUAGGCCAUCGUAGAGGCUCUGGUAGGUCUCUGAAUUAGUCAGCGGAGAACACUUUGCGUGAGAAGCUGGAGGUCUGCUACAAACUCUCUGAGUGAAAUGAGAAUGGUACCUGCCCUCACUCUCGUGCGGAUACUGCUGUCACUGGGGAAUGGGGGGGUGUUGGCUGGCCUGGUCAUCACUCGCCCCAAGCUGGAGGCUGGCUUAGGGGACUCUGUCCUGCUGGAAUGUUUCUUCCAAAGCCUGGUGCCAGGGGACUGGAAGGUGACCAAAGUGGACUGGAUACAUGUGCCAGAAAAUAAUACUCAGGCGGAGGAGAUGGUCUUCUACUACUACAGUAAUCACAGCAUUCCUGUGGGACGCUUCCAGCACCGAGUGCAGUGGUGGGGGGAUGUGGCCCGCAAGGACGGCUCUGUGAGGAUGCAGGAUGUGCAGGCGGACGACAGCGGGACGUACGCCUGCGAGAUCCGGGUGUUUGGGCGGAGCAGCGUCUUCAAAAACUACACCGUGCUGCACGUGGCCUCUGCCGGACGGAGAUGGUCCGGAUUUGCAGUGGCCCAGGACUCCAAGAGCACCAGUAGCAGUGGCUGGGGGGCCAUCCUGGCUUACGUCUGUGCGACCACCUUCCUGGCCCUCUUGUUGGGAUAUGGGCUGAAGAAGUUUCUCCAGAGGCAGAGACGUACGGAGAACGGGCCCCUGUCGAGGAGUCGGGAUGGCGGCAGUCGGGAUGAAGCAGAGGAAGGCAUUUACUCCCUCAUACCCUGUGCGGAGACACUCAAGGCUGGGCAGGAGGCAGAGCUGUGGAGCAGAAAGGACAUGACCUACAUGACCAUGCACCCCUCUGCCGCUUUCCCUGGGGCGGACACUGCACUGCUGGAGAACAACGUGUACGUCCAGCUGCAGAGGAAGAAGAUCCCAGUGGAAUGGCUGGAUGAGGGGAGACUGGGCUAUGAAGGAGCCCAAGAAAGCAAGAAAACCUGUGAAAAGUCCAACUGUCCAGCGGAGGAAUUCCCUUGCCCCCUGGACUGGGGGAAACCACCUCUGAGCCCAGCCUGGCAUGACAGCCAGGGACAUUGACCUCUCCCAGGGACAAACUCUACCCACUCCGUCAGCAUACCGCAGGGCUGGUUUGUCCAUACAGGGUAUGGGCCGUAUCACUCUAGCUGUCCAGGUUAUAAUCUAUUUGUGCUGUGACAGCACCUGCCAGCCCCAGCCAGGAUCGGGCCCCAUUGUGCCCAGCGCUGUGUAGACUUGCGGCUCCUUGAGGAUGUUUUCGAAAGGGUGACCCCAUGCUCUGAUGGGGUUGCUGCUGUUUUUGCGACUGCGCCGUGAGCCCAGCACGGCCUGGCCUGCACACAGGGCAGUGGGAGGGCACGUCUUGCUACCUGGGGCAGGCCAGGAGUGGGGCACAGGAGGGCGAUGAAGAUAAAUGGACUUUGCUCUGGUUUCACCCUCAUUCUGUGGGCGGGACAGUGCCCUGUGGCAGAGCUUCCACUCUCCAGCUGGGAUAUUGGUCAAUGCCGUCAAAACCCAGCGAGAGAGAACUCCAGGGAGAGUCCCACCUCCAGACGAGGAGGAGGAGGUGAUCGGGUGUUGGGUGCCCUGCAGCUGCCUGAGCUGGCCUGCUUCCUGGGCACCUAGCGGGCUCUGGGCUGCCAGCCUGGCACCUUCCACCAGAGCCACAUGGGAAACAAGCAAACCGACGUGCGGGGGAAAUAGUUCAGUUGAACUGUAGCAAACCCAGUGCUCUGUGUGUGUAAAUAGAUGUGCACCACCACCCCCUACACGUGUUUGUGUCUCCACUUCUACACUUGCAAUAACUAGGAAUAUUCUUCACUCUGUUCUACCUGGACAAAAUCUGCACCUGAGGUUCCAAGUUACUGGCAAAAAUGGGACUGGUUCAGCCCCUUAUUUCUGAGUGGGUCAGCUCCGCUCCCUGCCCUGUCCUGGUCUCUUUCCUUGCGCGGGGGUUAAAACCCUGCCCCCAGAGCUCUGCCAGAGGCCUCUGGCUCAGCCUCUGCUGGGGCCAGCUCUCCCUCCAGGCUCCUUCGAUAGAUGUUUGACGCCUCCACGUGCAGUGACCUGAGAUGGGCUCCUCCAUUCCUGGAGAGAAAGGGGGACCACUCACUGCGCUUAGCCAGGGCGCUGGCACGUGGGCCAAUGCAGCAAAAGUUGCUGUAUGCUGCAGUCGUUUGUUUCACAUUGCCACCCCACUCGUUUUCUGUUGGUGAGGCAGAAUAACCGGAGCGAGGGGCUUCAAUAUGCCAACAAAUUUUUAUUGAAGUUGAAACAAAUAUAAGGCUGUAAGUAAUGACUAAGGGCCUGUUAUGUCAGAGCUAACGGUGCCCCAGACAGGAAUGCUUGGGGUUAUUCACUGUAGCUGGGAGACUUCAUGCUACACAAGCAAUCGAUCUACUUUGUGAUUUUAGUAUAUAAUAAUCCUGUACUUUAAUGAAUAAUCUGAUACUUCAGGUGCAUUCUCUCUGGCAGGGUCACGAGGUACUUUACAAACUAUACAUGGUUUUCAGCCCCCCACCUUGUGUGUGUGCGUGCGCGCGCUUCCCUGUUCGUGUCUCACCGUUUUGCUAACCUGAUUUCAGGGUGAGUCUCAUGCUAUUUGGUGUUUGUCUUGAAGCCCCGGCGCUGGGAUUCCUGUCACUAUGUGAGACUCUCAGCUCUCGUUUAACAAGAGAGAACUUCUAGCCCUCAUGGUUGCAAAGAAAAGCUUGAAAAUGUGACCCAAGUGCAACCUAAAGGCUCAGACACUUGAAGGCAAAGAAAACAAAACCCAACCCCAAAUCUCACAACUUCUAAUCCAAUCUCAUGAUUUUGGGGGCCCGAUUUGUGACUUUCGACUGCGUGGGCCUGGCACCGCUGUCCGAUGUUGCCAGCGUGUCAGUUCAUGGCCGUUUCCCUGCCUGCCGCGCUGAGCAAUGGACUGUUUCCAGCAUAAGGGCAAGGAAGGAGCAGCACCCCUCCAGCCGGCCAUAUUGGAGGUUGGGAAAUAAAGCAGCUCUAAAAUUAUGUGUGUCUUGGAAAUAACCCAGUGCACCUGAAAAAGACAAAGCCAAACAGCAGCAACAAAAACCAGCCACAACAAACACCAAAAUCUUCGCCAUACACAAAGGUG